CGCCGCCGCUCCGCCCCUGAGCGCCGGGCGCCCAAAGGCUGCCGGAGCGCUCGUGUUGCGGCAGUCCUCGUUGCCGGGGCUGGCGCGGCCCCUUCGGCGGGGGCUGAGCGGCUUUAUCUGCGCGCCUCGGAAGUGGCCACGGGCUCUGGCUGGCUGAAGAGACCACACUUACCAAGAAGAACAGACAUCUCUAUGUAAACAGAGGCUUUGGAGCAAAGAGGGAGAAGAGAGGGGAAUCCCCUCGUACUGUUUCAGCCUAUUGGAUGUGCUGCUGUGCAUCGUUCAGGUUUGUGAACCAAGUGUAAGUACUGGCUGGUUACAGGUGCUGUCUGUCUCAGAGGCUGCUAUUUUCCAGUUGUCAUUUGUGAACUUUGAAAAAAAACUUUUCAUUUGUUUGUGGCAUUUGUCUUAACUGUCUUAUAACAGAGUGUAAAACAAAGAUUGUGUUUUCAUUGUGCA
rnacentral:lncRNA from 1 species